AAGAGACUUUUAGGGAUCAUUUUUAAAGGGUGCAUCUUGAAAACGUUAUCUAAAUAUGGCGAUUCCUCAGCUAUGAUGUUGAGUUAAAGGAAGACCUUCUUAAGCAUGAAGCUUUGUGUAUCUCAGGAUAUUAAAAACUAUUGAGGAUUUUUUUCGGAAAUCUAUAGGAGGAAGAAAUCUUUCACUGAAUAGU
rnacentral:snoRNA from 1 species